rnacentral:rRNA from 1 species
AUUGAACGCUGGCGGCAGGCCUAACACAUGCAAGUCGAGCGGAUGAAGGGAGCUUGCUCCUGGAUUCAGCGGCGGACGGGUGAGUAAUGCCUAGGAAUCUGCCUGGUAGUGGGGGAUAACGUCCGGAAACGGGCGCUAAUACCGCAUACGUCCUGAGGAGAAAGUGGGGGAUCUUCGGACCUCACGCUAUCAGAUGAGCCUAGGUCGGAUUAGCUAGUUGGUGGGGUAAAGGCCUACCAAGGCGACGAUCCGUAACUGGUCUGAGAGGAUGAUCAGUCACACUGGAACUGAGACACGGUCCAGACUCCUACGGGAGGCAGCAGUGGGGAAUAUUGGACAAAGGGCGAAAGCCUGAUCCAGCCAUGCCGCGUGUGUGAAGAAGGUCUUCGGAUUGUAAAGCACUUUAAGUUGGGAGGAAGGGCAGUAAGUUAAUACCUUGCUGUUUUGACGUUACCAACAGAAUAAGCACCGGCUAACUUCGUG